CUGAGCUCAAGUGAUCCUCCCACCUCAGCCUCCUGAGUAGCUGAGACUAUCGGCUGCACUACCACACCUGGAUAGCACCUUUCGAUAAGCUGGUCUCGAACUCCUGGGCUCAAGUGAUACUCCUGCCUUGGCCUCUCAAAGUGCUGGGAUUAGACGUGAGCCACUGUGCCUGGCCUAAGUCAGUAUUUCUACAAGCAAUGGAAGAGAUUGCUGAUUUUUGUUUGUUUUCAGUUAAAUACCAGGUACAAGGGAAAGAGACCGGUUUGAGAGAACAGUGGAUUCACAACUUCCAUCUAACACGAAUGUGAUCCAUAUAUACAUGGAGAGCAGACAUCUAAACAACUGGAAACACAGCAGAAGGGCAUGCUUUUUCGAAAUUGUUACCUUUCUCAUUUUCGCUCAGUACCCAUAUAGCUGAACUCACGUAAUGAAAUGUUCAUAGAAUGUGACCCUAUUCUCUGCUACAAUUAGAGGGAUUUGUGAAACUUUUGUCAUUUAAUAAAACCAUUAGUUGUAAUUAUUUA
rnacentral:lncRNA from 1 species